AGUGAACGCUGGCGGCGUGCCUAACACAUGCAAGUCGAACGAUGAUUGAGAGCUUGCUCUCAUGAUUAGUGGCGCACGGGUGAGUAUACCAUAGAUAAUGUACCUCUUAGUUCGGGAUAGCCACUGGAAACGGUGAUUAAUACCGGAUACUCCUUCUUGUCUCAAGGCAAGUCGGGAAAGUUUUUUCGCUAAGAGAUCAGUCUAUGUCCUAUCAGCUAGUUGGUGAGGUAAUGGCUCACCAAGGCAAUGAAGGGUAUCUGGUUUGAGAGGAUGAUCAGACACACUGGAACAGAGACACGGUCCAGACUCCUACGGGAGGCAGCAGUGAGGAAUAUUGAACAAUGGAGGAAACUCGGAUGCAGCAGAGCCGCGUGGAGGAUGACGCAUUUCGGUGUGUAAACUCCUUUUAAGAGGGAAGAUAAUGACGGUACCUCUUGAAUAAGCACCGGCUAACUCCGUGCCAGCAGCCGCCGUAA
rnacentral:rRNA from 1 species